UACGGAGGAUGCAAGCGUUAUCCGGAAUGAUUGGGCGUAAAGCGUCCGCAGGUGGCUGUGUAAGUCUGCUGUCAAAGAGCGAAGCUCAACUUCGUAAAGGCAGUGGAAACUACACGGCUAGAGUGCGUUCGGGGCAGAGGGAAUCCCUGGUGUAGCGGUGAAAUGCGUAGAGAUCAGGAAGAACACCGGUGGCGAAGGCGCUCUGCUAGGCCGCAACUGACACUGAGGGACGAAAGCUAGGGGAGCGAAUGGG
rnacentral:rRNA from 1 species